GGAAACCUCACCCGGCCCGGACACCGCGAGGAUUGACAGACUGAGAGCUCUUUCUCGAUUCGGUGGGUGGUGGUGCAUGGCCGUUCUUAGUUGGUGGAGCGAUCUGUCUGGUUAAUUCCGAUAACGAACGAGACCCCAUCCUGCUAACUAGCCCUCGGGUCCGGCUUCUGGCGGGCCCGACGGAAUGACUCGCUUCUUAGAGGGACUCGCGGCGCCUAGCCGCACGAAGGGGGGCGAUAA
rnacentral:rRNA from 1 species